rnacentral:rRNA from 1 species
AGAGUUGAUCAUGGCUCAGAUUGAACGCUGGCGGCAGGCUUAACACAUGCAAGUCGAGCGGGGAAAAGUAGCUUGCUACUUACCUAGCGGCGGACGGGUGAGUAAUGCUUAGGAAUCUGCCUAUUAGUGGGGGACAACAUUUCGAAAGGAAUGCUAAUACCGCAUACGUCCUACGGGAGAAAGCAGGGGACCUUCGGGCCUUGCGCUAAUAGAUGAGCCUAAGUCGGAUUAGCUAGUUGGUGGGGUAAAGGCCUACCAAGGCGACGAUCUGUAGCGGGUCUGAGAGGAUGAUCCGCCACACUGGGACUGAGACACGGCCCAGACUCCUACGGGAGGCAGCAGUGGGGAAUAUUGGACAAUGGGGGCAACCCUGAUCCAGCCAUGCCGCGUGUGUGAAGAAGGCCCUUUUGGUUGUAAAGCACUUUAAGCGAGGAGGAGGCUACUUAGAUUAAUACUCUGAGAUAGUGGACGUUACUCGCAGAAUAAGCACCGGCUAACUCUGUGCCAGCCGCAGC